rnacentral:sRNA from 1 species
UUUGAGUUCCUGUCCUUACUUUCUUCAGUGGUGAAUUGUAGCAUGGGAGCAUAAACCAGGUAAACCCCUUCCUUCCCACCUGGCUUUGGUUGUGGUGUUUUAUCAUAGCGAUCGUGUCUAACUAUGACACUUGCAUCCGCCUGUGGCCUGUCCUGAUAAUAAAAUCCAGAACACCAAGUGAAACCUGAAGUUCAGUUAAACGACGAAUAAUUUUUAGUGUAAGCUUGUCGCGUGUAACACGGGAAACAUGCGAAACUAACCACACUUUACCUGGCAUCCAAAUGAAUUAGCAUCCUGUAUUUUUGACUUGCUAAUUCGGAUGAAGGUUGGCUUUAGGGAUGCUGUAGGGAACAGGAGGUAGGUUAAGCCAUUGCAGCUGCCACAAGAUAGGCUACCUUACCUCCUCCCAGCAUUCAGUGGUAGUGAGAAAUGGGGCUAAUACAGCAGCCCCAGUGGCCUCUCAUCACCUCAGAAGUGUUACUCUUUUCAUGAGUGCAUCUCAUUGUCAGGUUUUUAAGCAGAGCUUGCGGGUGGCUGGUCCUUCACUGUUCAGCAUGGAGGACCUGGCCCAGAACAGUUGUGUGGUAACCAUUUCUUAAACGAAUGGACAAGUUUUAAAGCGCACCACCCCAGAAGUGGCUGACGGUCCUUGGUGGCCGUAUUACGUCAGUGUUUGUCAGCUGCCAACACACACUCAAGACAAGUUAUAGAGAGAAGAGGUUUUCAGGCUCUAGGUCAGGAGGUUCCAUAUGAGGCAGGCAUUGAUUUUGGGCCUUUUCUAGGGGAGCCUGAAGGUGAUGGCAGGUAGUUGUGAGAAGCAACAACGUCCACCUCACGGCUAAGAUACAAAACAGAGGAAGAGGAGAGGGCUGGGGUCUUAAAUCCCCUUAAAGAACACACCCACUGUGACCUAAUAUGUCUCACUAAGAGUGACGUCAUAAAGCUUCCAUUGCUGGACGCCAAGCCUCCGGGGACUUUGGGUCAGACAUUUAUCCAAACCAUAUCAAUGUCUAUGGUCCGGUGUUGUCUAUUUCAGGUUGAGUCAGAUGUUGACAGAGUAUGAAGGCCCAUCAGGGCCAUAGAGCAGUAGAGUAGCCUUUGAGUCGGCCUCUUAGUGUGAUUCAGGUAUGGGGUAUAACCAGAACAUUUAGUCUGACUGCUGCACACGGCCUGUCUGAUAACCCCAUCCUGUCCAGCAUGGUGUCUGCACGCUGAACAUUCUUAGCAGAUGGUGGGCUCUAUGCUCAUUACUCUUAAUACGAUUUAUUACCACUGAAGGGACUCGAGGAUAAAAGGAAAACCUGCCAAUAGUGUCACUGGGGCAACAAGCCAGCAGAGCUAUUCUUGGAAAUGUGGAGCUUCGGGCAUGGGACCUUUGAGCAUGAAGCAGCAAAUGGCAAAUACAGUGCAGAUUCCCCUAGGCAGCGUGGUGCUUAGGCUCAUCCUUUACACACCAUGAUGAUGUAAUCCCACCAGCUCCGCUCGGACGCACUUCCUCCUGGAAGAACGUUUACCAGAGUCAGUCUAUGCUAAGUCUGUCACGAUCUAAUUCAGAUGAUGUUCUGCUGCGUGCGUAACUGGAACAUCCCAAGGGAAGGGUCUACGUGAUUUAAUUUUGUACUAUAGCAUCCAGCACACUUCCCGGUUUUAUGAUGUAUGUUUGUAUCAGAUAGAGUAGGCUGGGUUUUUGCCGCAGUACAAAGAUGUGCUUUCAGAUUUUGGCAGCUUAUUUUAACCAAGGGUUACUUUCUUGCCCAUGUCAUUUGUUCUCUGUUGGUCCUGAUGUUGUUUGUCCUCUGUUGGUCGGCAUAGGGAGGAGUUCACUGACUCCUCAUCUGAGACCUAGGGUGUAGGGCAAGUUUUGAACGGAAUGUUGAAAUCCUCUUGAUAGAGCCACAGUAUGGAGCCCCAGGCUGCCUCUCAAAGCUCCUCAGAACAAUUACUUCCACUUAUACCUCAUGACAAACCAAACCACGCAGUCAAGCUGACCUCCUGAGAAGAAGGGAAAUACCAUUCUCCCUCACGGAAGAAGAGAAAAGGUUUUUGAACAAGAAUACAAUCUUCUACAGUGCCCAGGUCAAGCAAAAUUCUAUGAAUUUUGUAUUUGUGAAUGCAAUGUUUGGUACCACUGCAGCAACAAUUAUAUGGAUUCAAAUGGAAUCCCAUUACAACUGCUCUUUGGAGACGCACCGCUCUCUGAAAAGGGAGUGAACCAAGCAAGCCUGAGCUAUUCUUAGUCUAGCCCUGGCUCUUAUACUCGGACUGUGUGGGACCAGGUGGAACUGCAUAGGAUGCAUCCUUCUGAUGGCUUCUUUCGCUUGGCAACGUGUUCAGUUUCCCCUGUGUCUUCUCCUAGAUCGAACAUUCAUUUUGCUUGCUGAGUAACACCUGGGUGCAGGUACUGAAUUCCAGGUCAAGGGUUCUGCUGAAGUGGAAUUAAAAUAAAAUGUGGCUUACACAGUGUGCUGCAGGAGAUGGACUAAACACACCACGGUCCUCACAAGUGAAAGUUUAGUGAAUGACCUGCCACACGGUCUCUCAUGAAAUAUCUGGGUAGAGUUUUCUCUUAUAGGGUACCUUUUUUUUCCAUUUUGGGGAGUUUCCCCAUUGUCACAGAAAAUCCCAUUCGAGGGGUUUCGCUAAAUGUUGGACUCUAUUAGUGAAGAGAGAUCUUCCUGUUGAAACACAGGACUGGAUUUUUGAGUGGAGCAAGAGUGUCCCCUUCACAGAACAUGUUCACGAAUCAAAGCCCUGUAGGAGGAACUGGCAUUUCUUGCUAUCGCAUCGACUCCAGUGGCUGAGUCUUUGGCCUGAAAGGAUCCCUCCAUGCUAAAUGAAGAAGACCUGAUAGAGGAGAGCAAAGAAGAGAAGUGGGAAAUGGAGAGAAUUCAAAGAGCCAGUUCAGAGACUGCCGAGAGGAGAGAUCCAGCUGACUCUGGUUUUCUGUUGUUGAGAAAUAGUCACUGUCCCACAGAAGCUGCCACAGGUGUAACAAUGUGGAGAGAACUCUGUGUGUGUGUUAAUGUAUGUAUUUAUGUGCAUGGGUGUGAUGUGUGUUUGUGUUGUGUGUAUAUGUG